rnacentral:rRNA from 1 species
UGGGGAAUAUUGGACAAUGGGCGCAAGCCUGAUCCAGCCAUGCCGCGUGAGUGAUGAAGGCCUUAGGGUUGUAAAGCUCUUUUAUCCGGGACGAUAAUGACGGUACCGGAGGAAUAAGCCCCGGCUAACUUCGUGCCAGCAGCCGCGGUAAUACGAAGGGGGCUAGCGUUGCUCGGAAUCACUGGGCGUAAAGGGCGCGUAGGCGGCGUUUUAAGUCGGGGGUGAAAGCCUGUGGCUCAACCACAGAAUGGCCUUCGAUACUGGGACGCUUGAGUAUGGUAGAGGUUGGUGGAACUGCGAGUGUAGAGGUGAAAUUCGUAGAUAUUCGCAAGAACACCGGUGGCGAAGGC